rnacentral:rRNA from 1 species
AGGUAUCGUAAUUGAAGAGGUUUGGAAAGACCCACCACAGAAGGUAAUAGUCCUGUAUGUUAAACGAGAAGACUUCAGAUAUGAUCCAGAGUACCACGGGACACGUGAAACCCUGUGGGAAGCAGGAGGGACCACCCUCCAAGGCUAAAUACUACCUAGUGACCGAUAGCGUAUAGUACCGUGAGGGAAAGGUGAAAAGAACCCCGGGAGGGGAGUGAAAUAGAACCUGAAACCCUGCACUUACAAGCUGUGGAAGCACAUUUCUUGUGUGACCGCGUACUUUUUGUAGAACGGGCCAACGAGUUACGUUAAGUAGCAAGGUUAAGCACUUAAGGUGCGGAGCCGUAGCGAAAGCGAGUUUUAACUGAGCGUUCAGUUACUUGACGUAGACCCGAAACCGGGCGACCUACCCAUGAGCAGGAUGAAGCGAAAGUAAAAUUUCGUGGAGGUCCGAACCCACGAGCGUUGAAAAGCUCGGGGAUGACUUGUGGGUAGCGGUGAAAUUCCAAUCGAGCCCGGAGAUAGCUGGUUCUCCCCGAAAUAGCUUUAGGGCUAGCCUCAAGGUGAGAGAUACGGAGGUAGAGCACUGAAUGUCCUAGGGGGUAUUGCACCUACCGAAGACUAUCAAACUCCGAAUGCCGUCAUCUUAUACUUGGGAGUCAGACUGUGGGUGAUAAGAUUCAUAGUCGAAAGGGCAACAGCCCAGAUCGUCAGCUAAGGUCCCUAAAUGUAAGUUAAGUGGUAAAGGAUGUGGGAUUGCACAGACAACCAGGAUGUUGGCUUAGAAGCAGCCACUCAUUCAAAGAGUGCGUAAUAGCUCACUGGUCGAGUGAUCCUGCGCCGAAGAUUUCCGGGGCUAAAACUUACUACCGAAGCUACGGCAUCAGUAAUGAUGGGUAGGGGAGCUUCCCAUACGGGUUGAAGCAUGACCGUAAGGACAUGUGGACAGUAUGGGAGUGAGAAUGUUGGCAUGAGUAGCGAGAUGUGGGUGAGAAUCCCACAGGCCGUAAACCCAAGGUUUCCAGGGGAAGGUUCGUCCGCCCUGGGUUAGUCGGGACCUAAGCUGAGGCCGAAAGGCGUAGGUGAUGGACAACAGGUUGAUAUUCCUGUACUACCGAUAACCGUUUGAGAGAAGGGAUGACACAGUAGGAUAAGCUAAGCACACUGUUGGUUAUGUGUGCCCAAGCAUUGAGGCAGUCAAAGUAGGCAAAUCCGCUUUGAUAAUGCUGGGAUGUGAUGGGGAGCGAAAUUUAGUAGCGAAGUAGCUGAUUUCACACUGUCAAGAAAAGUCUCUAUCGAGGUUAAAGGUACCCGUACCGCAAACCGACACAGGUGGGUGAGGAGAGUAUCCUAAGGCCAGCGAGAGAACUGUUGUUAAGGAACUCGGCAAAAUGACCCCGUAACUUAGGGAUAAGGGGUGCCACCAUCAGGUGGCCGCAGAGAAUAGGCCCAAGCGACUGUUUACCAAAAACAUAGGUUUCUGCUAAGUCGCAAGACGAUGUAUAGGAGCUGACGCCUGCCCGGUGCUGGAAGGUUAAGGGGAUCUGUUAGAGCAAUCGAAGCAGUGAACUUAAGCCCCAGUAAACGGCGGCCGUAACUAUAACGGUCCUAAGGUAGCGAAAUUCCUUGUCGGGUAAGUUCCGACCCGCACGAAAGGCGUAACGAUUUGGGCACUGUCUCAACAACAGACUCGGUGAAAUUGUAAUUCCGGUGAAGAUGCCGGAUACCUGCGACAGGACGGAAAGACCCCAUGGAGCUUUACUGUAGCUUGACAUUGGGUCUUGGUACUACAUGUACAGGAUAGGUGGGAGGCUUUGAAACCAGGACGCCAGUUUUGGCGGAGCCAUCCUUGGGAUACCACCCUUGUAGUACUGGGACUCUAACCAUAGGCCAUGAAUCUGGUCUUGGGACACUGUCAGGUGGGCAGUUUGACUGGGGCGGUCGCCUCCCAAAAGGUAACGGAGGCGCUCAAAGGUUCUCUCAGUACGGUCGGAAAUCGUACGUAGAGUGUAAAGGCAAAAGAGAGCUUGAUUGCAAGACAUACAGGUCGAGCAAGGAUGAAAAUCGGACUUAGUGAUCCGGUGGUUCUGCGUGGAAGGGCCAUCGCUCAACGGAUAAAAGCUACCCUGGGGAUAACAGGCUUAUCUCCCCCAAGAGUCCACAUCGACGGGGAGGUUUGGCACCUCGAUGUCGGCUCAUCACAUCCUGGGGCUGUAGUAGGUCCCAAGGGUUGGGCUGUUCGCCCAUUAAAGUGGUACGCGAGCUGGGUUCAGAACGUCGUGAGACAGUUCGGUCCCUAUCCGUCGCAGGCGUAGGAAAUUUGAGAAGACCUGUCCUUAGUACGAGAGGACCGGGAUGGACGUACCUCUGGUGUACCAGUUGUCCUGCCAAGGGCAUGGCUGGGUAGCUAUGUACGGAAUGGAUAAGCGCUGAAAGCAUCUAAGCGCGAAGCCAACUUCAAGAUAAGAUUUCCCACCGCAAGGGUAAGACCCCAGAAAGACUAUCUGGUUGAUAGGUCGAAGGUGUAAGUGCAGCAAUGUAUUUAGCUUAUCGAUACUAAUAGGUCGAGGACUUGACCAA